GACACAGAUCCUCAAUGUAAAAAAAAAAAAAAAAAAAAAAACACACACAAGAACAAGAAACCAGCCCAGACCCAGGGAGCGAGGCAGAGAGGGAGGAGUGUGUGUGUGAGUGUGUAUGUGUGUGUGUGUGAACGCGGGAGCGAGAGCGAGCGAAGAGAAGCGAGGGUGGGGGGGAAAGGGAAAGAAGAUUUUCUCUAUGUAUAUAAAGAUGGCCACGUUAGCAAACGGACAAGCAGACAAUACCAGCCUGAGUAGCAAUCACACCAACCCCAGCACCAACGGGCACAUGAACGGAUUAACCCACAGUCCCGGAAACCCCGCCACCAUCCCCAUGAAGGACCACGAUGCCAUCAAGCUCUUCAUUGGGCAGAUCCCCCGCAACUUGGACGAGAAGGACCUCAAGCCGCUCUUCGAGGAGUUCGGGAAGAUCUACGAACUGACGGUGCUGAAGGACAGGUUCACUGGCAUGCACAAAGGGUGUGCCUUCCUAACAUACUGCGAAAGGGAGUCUGCCCUGAAGGCCCAGAGUGCGCUGCAUGAACAGAAGACACUGCCAGGGAUGAACAGACCAAUCCAGGUGAAGCCAGCGGACAGCGAAAGCCGAGGAGAAGACAGAAAACUCUUUGUGGGCAUGCUCAACAAGCAGCAGUCAGAAGACGAUGUGCGCAGGCUAUUUGAGGCGUUCGGGAACAUUGAGGAGUGCACAAUCCUCCGGGGACCCGAUGGCAACAGCAAAGGGUGUGCAUUUGUGAAAUACUCCUCGCAUGCAGAGGCCCAAGCAGCCAUCAACGCCUUGCAUGGCAGCCAGACAAUGCCGGGGGCCUCCUCGAGCCUGGUGGUGAAGUUUGCAGACACGGACAAGGAGCGUACAAUGAGGCGCAUGCAGCAAAUGGCAGGACAGAUGGGCAUGUUCAACCCCAUGGCGAUCCAGUUUGGAGCGUACGGUGCCUACGCACAGGCACUGAUGCAGCAGCAGGCGGCUAUCAUGGCAUCCGUGGCACAAGGAGGCUACCUGAAUCCCAUGGCAGCCUUUGCCGCAGCCCAGAUGCAGCAGAUGGCAGCUCUGAACAUGAACGGUCUGGCUGCUGCUCCCAUGACGCCAACCUCAGGUGGGAGCACACCUCCUGGCAUCACUGCACCGGCUGUGCCUAGCAUCCCAUCCCCAAUCGGGGUGAAUGGUUUCACUGGCCUCCCACCGCAGGCUAAUGGGCAGCCCGCCGCAGAAGCUGUGUUCGCUAAUGGCAUCCACCCUUACCCAGCACAGAGCCCCACUGCAGCAGACCCCUUGCAACAAGCCUACGCUGGAGUGCAGCAGUACGCAGGUCCUGCUUAUCCUGCUGCUUAUGGCCAGAUUAGCCAAGCGUUUCCACAGCCGCCUCCCAUGAUCCCACAGCAACAGAGAGAAGGACCAGAGGGCUGUAACCUGUUUAUCUACCAUCUGCCCCAGGAGUUUGGGGAUGCUGAGCUGAUGCAGAUGUUCCUGCCUUUCGGUAAUGUCAUCUCCUCGAAAGUGUUUGUGGAUCGGGCGACAAACCAAAGUAAAUGCUUUGGGUUUGUGAGUUUUGACAACCCCGCCAGUGCCCAGGCUGCCAUCCAGGCUAUGAAUGGUUUCCAGAUUGGCAUGAAGAGGCUGAAGGUGCAGCUGAAGAGGCCGAAGGAUGCUAACCGUCCCUACUGAAGAGUUGUGGGAACCGCUGGAUACACAUGACUAGCACAGAGCCAGUCAAAUCCACCACAGUCUCGAGCUGAGCUAGGAAAAAAGUUCACGUAAUGACAUGAAAGUGGAGAAUACAGUCCCCCAGUCCGGCAGCAGCUGAAUGGGCCACAUUUAGAAAAAUAUAUAUAUAUAUAUUUUAAAAAAACAGGAACUGUUGGAUUACACCUUUGACAUAUCAGCAAAUAUCAAUCAAGCUGAAGACUUCAGACUUAUUCUCUCUUUGAUUGUUUAGACUGUAACAUUUCUUCAAGAAAAGUAUCACGUCUGCUGACUUCGAAGGACACGGGCUGGAAACAAACAAAAAUUAAUAAAUAAAUCAGAACAGGAACAAGAUCAACCAGGAUUUCUGAAGAGACAUUGAUAUCACCACAGCGGCUUUUCUCCAAACAGGAAAUGCAAACCUGGAUACGGACAAAGGAGUGCCUGUUUGCCACCAAGGAUGCGGCUACCAUGUUGACCCCAUGGUAACGGUCACUGAGCAUCUUUAUCUGUCAUUCCUUAGCUAUAUAGGGACCAAAGGACAAAACUUUUUAUCGCAGACUUGUAGCUGUAUGUAAAAUAUGGAAGUUCUUUGCUUUUCUCUGAGCUGUUCCUAAAACAGUUUUUGAGAGCAAUUAUAUGAAAUAUGUAAAAAUUAAAAAAAAAUGCUUAAAUGCUUUUAAAAUGGCAAGAUAAUAGUUCUUUGAUACUUUGGGAGGUUCUUUGGUUAUACAUUAAUUAGAGUCUAUGAAACUUUCAUAUGGUUUUCUGUAUAAUACGUAAGAAUCGCACUGCUCAAAGCAGGUAAGAUGAUGUCUGUGAAAAGCAAAAAAAAAAAAAAAAGUAAAGUAAAUAAAUAAAAAGGCAUAGCAAAGAGAAAAGAAAGAUGGUUGAUAGUGAAAAACAAAAAAGGUUUGUAAAUGCUUCUAACUCUCCCCAUUUAAAAUCCUAAUAGUUGUACAGAAUUUAAAAAAGAAAAAAACUUUAAAAUACCUAUAUCAUAGAAAAAAAAUUAGACAACAAAAAGCAAAAAAAAAAAAAACUACAUAGAAGUUAGCGUUAAUGCUAAAAACAAAGAUGUUGUAGAAUUGUAAUUUUUGUAGAGUUUAGACUGAGCAUAAAUUCCUACUCUCUGCCAACUGCUGUUGGAUGCUGUUAUUUAUCGAGGAGAAAAAGAAGAGAAAUGGCUAUUUUGGCAGCUUUUUUAACUGCAAGCAUUCCAGCUAUUAACAAAAAUAAACAAACAAAACUCGAUUGUUGUAGACAACGCAAAUGGGAAACAAAACAGCUGUCUUUUUAUCAGAUGCCGUUCUAACUUGAACAACAAAACCCAGCUACACGCUUCAUGUCUUCAUGAUCUGCUGUCCGCAAAUUCCCAUCAUCCUCUGCUUCAGUAGCUUCCAUAUUUGCUCUAGAAACCUUCAGGGCAAGGGGUUAGCCUAGAACCUUAAUCUUAAAAAAGAAAAAAUAAUAUAAAAAAAUAAAAAUAAAAAAUAACAUAAAAAAACAAACAAUCUCUUUGAAGAAUUUCUGAAACUGUUUACAAGGAAUUUUGAAAAACAGGGGGAUGUUUAAAAAAAAAGAGAUGCUGGCUCUGUUUUUCUGUAAAUAAAUUUGCAUAUUUUGUAGGACUUUUAAUUGUAAUGAUAGAGAAAAAAACAAGGAAAACUAUUUAAUGAAAGCACGAUAUUUAUCUUUGGUAAAUGACUUUAGAGCAGUUAAAAAAUAAGACAUUGCUUUGAAAAACUGAAUCAGAAAAACAAUGAAUUAUUUAAAAACACAUAUAUUUUAAAGUAUAUCAUAUUUAUUAUAAUUUAUUUCCACUGUAUUCAGACUUGAUUUGCAUCAUUCUCAUUCGUUUUAGUUGAACUAAGAAGAGUGUGAUGAUUAUUUCUGAUUCUUCAUUUAAAUCUUAGUUUGUUUUAAUUGAUUUGGGGUUGGUUUUUGUUUGCUUUUUAAAUAAUGUGAUUGUUAUCUUGGCCUUUUUUUAACACCUUAUUGGGUCGGAUCUUACUGCCCUUACUCUGGCAAAACUCCCUUUGGGUGACAGCGGGUGUUUCAUCUGAGUAAGGACAGCAGAAACGAGCCCACAGCCAGGAGGUACAGAUGUGUAAUGCAGCUGCAGUUCCAUACAACUGCUCUUUCACUCUCAAUUCCCUAAAACUCCUUGUAAUCUUCUGUAAUUAUUGAAUGACGCUUUCCAGCUUAGCCCUAAAUAAAGCACAGUUUAAAAAAAAAAGCCAUGUUCUUUACUUCUUGAUGGCUUUCCUCAAUGUGUUUGCUCUGAGAACAAAAUGAAUCUAUUUCGACUUUUUCAUUAAUAUACAUUGUUUGAGAAUCAGAACAAAUCCCUUUGUUAUAUAAAACAUAUCUCGUUGAAUUGAA